GAUGAACGCUGGCGGCGUGCCUAAUACAUGCAAGUCGAGCGAAUGGAUUAAGAGCUUGCUCUUAUGAAGUUAGCGGCGGACGGGUGAGUAACACGUGGGUAACCUGCCCAUAAGACUGGGAUAACUCCGGGAAACCGGGGCUAAUACCGGAUAGCAUUUUGAACCGCAUGGUUCGAAAUUGAAAGGCGGCUUCGGCUGUCACUUAUGGAUGGACCCGCGUCGCAUUAGCUAGUUGGUGAGGUAACGGCUCACCAAGGCAACGAUGCGUAGCCGGCCGGAGAGGGUGAUCGGCCACACUGGGACUGAGACACGGCCCAGACUCCUACGGGAGGCAGCAGUAGGGAAUCUUCCGCAAUGGACGAAAGUCUGACGGAGCAACGCCGCGUGAGUGAUGAAGGCUUUCGGGUCGUAAAACUCUGUUGUUAGGGAAGAACAAGUGCUAGUUGGAUAAGCUGGCACCUUGACGGUACCUAACCAGAAAGCCACGGCUAACUACGUGCCAGCCGCCGCAGUAA
rnacentral:rRNA from 1 species